rnacentral:rRNA from 1 species
GACGUAGGGGGCCAGCGUUGCUCGGAAUUACUGGGUGUAAAGGGUUCGUAGGCGGUGUGGCAAGUCGGGAGUGAAAUCUCUGGGCUCAACCCAGAGUCUGCUUCCGAAACUGCUGUGCUUGAGUGUGGGAGAGGCGCGUGGAAUUGCAGGUGUAGCGGUGAAAUGCGUAGAUAUCUGCAGGAACACCCGUGGCGAAAGCGGCGCGCUGGACCACUACUGACGCUGAGGAACGAAAGCCAGGGGAGCAAACAGG